AAAAAAUUCGAUACGGGGGGGUAUACCCGAAAAAUGAAAAAACCCAAACUUUGAAGGUCGAUAUCUCGGCUUCUAUUAGAGCUAUCGAGCAUAUUCCAACGGUUUUGUCUUAGUUUCGUCAUUCUGAAUCCAACGAGACCAUCCACAAGGUCGUAGCUCUUACGAUAGCCGAGAUAUGGCAUUUUUGAUGCCCAUUUUUGGCCUCAAAAACGGACGUCGAAAACGACUUUUUCAGGAUUUUCAAAGUGCUCUCAUUCCCUUAGUUCUGCUCGGAUCCUGUUAUAACCCGGUGUUUUCGUAAUCUAGGUGACCCAAAUAACACGCUGGUAUACUUAGUUUGAUUUCGAAAAAAAUCAAUUUUUGGUGAAAAAAUUCGAUACGGGGGGGUAUACCUGAAAAAUGAAAAAACCCAAACUUUGAAGGUCGAUAUCUCGGCUUCUAUGGGAGCUAUCGAGCAUAUUCCAACGGUUUUGUCUUAGUUUCGUCAUUCUGAAUCCAACGAGACCAUCCGCAAGGUCGUAGCUCUUACGAUAGCCGAGAUAUGGCAUUUUUGAUGCCCAUUUUUGGCCUCAAAAACGGACGUCGAAAACGACUUUUUCAGGAUUUUCAAAGUGCUCUCAUUCCCUUAGUUCUGCUCGGAUCCUGUUAUAACCCGGUGUUUUCGUAAUCUAGGUGACCCAAAUAACACGCUGGUAUACUUAGUUUGAUUUCGAAAAAAAUCAAUUUUUGGUGAAAAAAUUCGAUACGGGGGGGUAUACCUGAAAAAUGAAAAAACCCAAACUUUGAAGGUCGAUAUCUCGGCUUCUAUGGGAGCUAUCGAGCAUAUUCCAACGGUUUUGUCUUAGUUUCGUCAUUCUGAAUCCAACGAGACCAUCCGCAAGGUCGUAGCUCUUACGAUAGCCGAGAUAUGGCAUUUUUGAUGCCCAUUUUUGGCCUCAAAAACGGACGUCGAAAACGACUUUUUCAGGAUUUUCAAAGUGCUCUCAUUCCCUUAGUUCUGCUCGGAUCCUGUUAUAACCCGGUGUUUUCGUAAUCUAGGUGACCCAAAUAACACGCUGGUAUACUUAGUUUGAUUUCGAAAAAAAUCAAUUUUUGGUGAAAAAAUUCGAUACGGGGGGGUAUACCUGAAAAAUGAAAAAACCCAAACUUUGAAGGUCGAUAUCUCGGCUUCUAUGGGAGCUAUCGAGCAUAUUCCAACGGUUUUGUCUUAGUUUCGUCAUUCUGAAUCCAACGAGACCAUCCGCAAGGUCGUAGCUCUUACGAUAGCCGAGAUAUGGCAUUUUUGAUGCCCAUUUUUGGCCUCAAAAACGGACGUCGAAAACGACUUUUUCAGGAUUUUCAAAGUGCUCUCAUUCCCUUAGUUCUGCUCGGAUCCUGUUAUAACCCGGUGUUUUCGUAAUCUAGGUGACCCAAAUAACACGCUGGUAUACUUAGUUUGAUUUCGAAAAAAAUCAAUUUUUGGUGAAAAAAUUCGAUACGGGGGGGUAUACCCGAAAAAUGAAAAAAACCAAACUUUGAAGGUCGAUAUCUCGGCUUCUAUGGGAGCUAUCGAGCAUAUUCCAACGGUUUUGUCUUAGUUUCGUCAUUCUGAAUCCAACGAGACCAUCCGCAAGGUCGUAGCUCUUACGAUAGCCGAGAUAUGGCAUUUUUGAUGCCCAUUUUUGGCCUCAAA
rnacentral:lncRNA from 1 species